UACGUAGGGUGCAAGCGUUGUCCGGAAUUAUUGGGCGUAAAGAGCUCGUAGGCGGUUUGUCGCGUCGGCUGUGAAAACUCGGGGCUCAACCCCGAGCCUGCAGUCGAUACGGGCAGACUAGAGUGCUGUAGGGGAGACUGGAAUUCCUAGUGUAGCGGUGAAAUGCGCAGAUAUCAGGAGGAACACCGGUGGCGAAGGCGGGUCUCUGGGCAACAACUGACGCUGAGGAGCGAAAGCGUGGGGAGCGAACAGG
rnacentral:rRNA from 1 species